AUUAAACCGAACUCCCAUAUCUUUGCAGCCUGCUUGUUUGUUUAGCUGAUAAGAACAGUUCAAAUGUAUUUUAAUGAGACACUGAAAACCCCAGCGUGUCCNAGGAACAGAACUUUGAAUGAUUUAUCUAAAGAUUCACAGCCUUUGCAAAUACUUUAGCAUCUUGCUGGAUUACGAUGUUUAAACUUUCGGCAUACAUUAUCCAAGCUGUAAUUGUAGAGGGUGGNUUNUUUUCUUUUUUCUUUUCCUUUUCUUAAUGUUUAUCUUAAUUUUAAUAUCUUCGUAAAUUAAAAGAGGAUCAGCUGAACUUAACAGUCUUGAAGACGACACACAACGUGACUCGGGAAUGUUGACAAAUUUCCCCCAGCUCGUCUCCUCCNUACNCAGGUUGCCGCAAAUCUCUCGCCGCCCCCGCUGGGGGGAGACUUGGUGGAGCUCAAAUGAGGAAUCCCUCCNCCUUCCUGUCACUUAGGGAGAUGAAANCUUCUGACAGAGGAGGUUUGAACUCCCCCCUCUGUCUACUCACGUUGCGGUUUGCUCAGAGGAAAAAUCAUCUCAGCAACUACAUUCGGCCAUCUUCCUCGGAGGUCCCUUUUUCAGACAUUUCUUCACUUCCAUAGUCUCUUUGGAAGGUUCCCAAAUGGUAUGCUCUGGGAUUCUAAAUCUGGAUCAGAGCAUGGCUUCCGGUGCUAUGUCAGGGAGCACCAACAGGAACAACUUCAGUAUCUCAGAGGNGCUGGACUUUUGUGAAAGAGAUGUUGAGACUGUCCUCUGCAACCUGGACUACAUAGGAGAGGAGACACAGGAUGUAUCUUGGAUCCCAGCAUGGUUCUUCUCUGCUCAAUCCCAGACUGAGGGCAUUGACUUCCAGGCCUUUUUGAGAGCCCAGGUGCCAUAGCCAGAGACAGAGNAGCCUUGUCUGAUAUGAGCCAGUAAGGGGCCAUUUAAAUGGAAGAAGUGACCUGUUCUGAACCGGACUAUAGCACUCCAAGUUCACAACAGAGAACAGUGGGAAAAAAGCGCUUUCUUUCUUCCUUUUUUGGGGGGCGGGGGGUCUAAGGGGACCUUAAUGCAGCCUUUCCAGAGCCUGGAAAAAUAGUCUUAAAAUAACACAUUGAAAACUUAAUCUGUAUUGGAAGACGAUGAGGAUUGAGUACAUGUUCUGGUUGUUCCCACAUUUGUAUUAUAACAUGGACUCAAUUCAGACUUGCUUGUUCUCACACCUCAUUUUUCCUGUGCUUCGCAUGGGGAAACCAUACCUUUCUGUCUCCACCUCUCACCAACUUCCCCUCCUUGUGCAGUCAGUGACUGGAUGCAGUCCCAACGUUCCAAGCUUGACUCCACAGGGGAAGUAAGUGAAACUCUGUCCUCCGUAUUUCUCUGCUGCUAUCUCAGAACAUGGAUUCCCUUGGUGGCAUUACUGGUCAUUCACCAUUUGCUCCUUCUUCCCCUCCAGCCUGUAUCCACCNAAGUANAACUUCAAUUCCACAUCUACCACACANUCAAGUUUCUUAAAGGGCUCCUUUGCAAUUGCACUUUGGUCAAUUGUGCAAUUUCAAACUAGCGUAAAAAACAUGCAGAAAAUAAUAACCAGGAUGUUCAGGGACUGGGAACACCUCCCUCAUGAGAUUAGGCUGCAAUGUCUAGAUCAAUUCAUACUUGAAAAACAG
rnacentral:lncRNA from 1 species